UACGUAGGGGGCAAGCGUUGUCCGGAAUCAUUGGGCGUAAAGAGCGCGUAGGCGGUCUGAUAAGUCGGUUGUGAAAGUCGGGGGCUCAACCCUCGGAUGCCGAUCGAUACUGUCAGGCUAGAGUCCGGAAGAGGCGAGUGGAAUUCCUGGUGUAGCGGUGAAAUGCGCAGAUAUCAGGAGGAACACCAAUGGCGAAGGCAGCUCGCUGGGACGGUACUGACGCUGAGGCGCGAAAGCGUGGGGAGCAAACAGG
rnacentral:rRNA from 1 species